GAACCUGCGGAAGGAUCAUUG
rnacentral:ncRNA from 131 species